UACGUAGGGUGCAAGCGUUGUCCGGAAUUAUUGGGCGUAAAGGGCGCGUAGGCGGCGCAACAAGUCACUUGUGAAAUCUCCGGGCUUAACCCGGAGCGGCCAAGUGAUACUGUCGUGCUAGAGUGCGGAAGGGGCUACUGGAAUUCUCGGUGUAGCGGUGAAAUGCGUAGAUAUCGAGAGGAACACCUGCGGCGAAGGCGGGUAGCUGGGCCGACACUGACGCUGAUGCGCGAAAGCCAGGGGAGCGAACGGG
rnacentral:rRNA from 1 species